rnacentral:lncRNA from 1 species
GAAAAUAUAUGGGCUGAAUGUCUUUCUAUUUGCUCUUUAAAGACCUUGCACAAAUAAUGAUGAUGACUGGGAUUUUUUUUUCAUGGAAAAAAAAAAAACAGAAAUGGUGAGGGUACCUGGAGAGGCCAAGGUGAAGGCAUUACUUCUUAAUUUAUUGAUACUGAGUUGCAUCCACCCCAGGGAGCUGGUGCUGCCUAUCCUCCGAGGACCAAAACAGCUGGAGGCUAAAGCAGCUAAUAGCAGAGGCACCUGUGGCUAUAGAGGCUGUUUGAACCCUGGGCUCUGGCAGUAAGCACUGCACUGAUCUGGAAGGAAAAGACAUGGGGCAGGACUGAGACUCUGCUGGGAAAGCAUCAAUGAUUUAGUUAAGAAGAACUAAAACAGCGAAUUCCAUAAUGGGAGGUUUUGCCUAUGACUUUCUUCUAGGGUGUAAGUUGGUUCCGCAUCAUAAUGUAAUUAUAUAUUUUUCACUUUUUUAAUUGACAGAUAACAUUUUAUGUUUUUAUCAUGUACAACAUGAUGUUUUGAAGUACAUAUACAAAAUGCAAAGGUUAAAUCUAGCUCAUCAACAAAUGAACUCACACAGUUAUCACUUU